UACGGAGGGUGCAAGCGUUAUCCGGAUUCACUGGGUUUAAAGGGAGCGUAGGUGGGUUGGUAAGUCAGUGGUGAAAUCCCCGAGCUUAACUUGGGAACUGCCAUUGAUACUAUCAGUCUUGAAUACUGUGGAGGUUAGCGGAAUAUGUCAUGUAGCGGCGAAAUGCUUAGAUAUGACAUAGAACACCAAUUGCGAAGGCAGCUGGCUACACAAAUAUUGACACUGAGGCUCGAAAGCGUGGGGAUCAAACAGG
rnacentral:rRNA from 1 species